rnacentral:rRNA from 1 species
AUUGAACGCUGGCGGAAUGCUUUACACAUGCAAGUCGAACGGCAGCACGGGGCAACCUGGUGGCGAGUGGCGAACGGGUGAGUAAUAUAUCGGAACGUGCCCAAUCGUGGGGGAUAACGUAGCGAAGUUACGCUAAUACCGCAUACGAUCUACGGAUGAAAGCGGGGGAUCGCAAGACCUCGCGCGAAUGGAGCGGCCGAUAUCAGAUUAGGUAGUUGGUGGGGUAAAGGCUCACCAAGCCAACGAUCUGUAGCGGGUCUGAGAGGACGACCAGCCACACUGGAACUGAGACACGGUCCAGACUCCUAACGGGAGGCAGCAGUGGGAA